UGCCGUUUUUGCCAUGUUCAUCUGAUUCGCCAAAUUUGCCGGCUUUCCAAGGGGGCGCUCUUGUCUUCUCAUUUGCAUUGGCCUCCAUCUUGUUGUUGUUGUCGGCGAUUUUGACCAACUUGCCAUUUUCGCCACAUUUGCCA